rnacentral:tRNA from 1 species
GCCCGUUCGCGCCGCGGCGGACGCUGGUCGGGCCGCGGCCCCGACUGGCGCUGCUCGGCGCUGCGCUGAUCGUCCCGGCGCUCGGGCC